rnacentral:rRNA from 1 species
GAUGAACGCUGGCGGCGUGCCUAAUACAUGCAAGUCGAGCGAACAGACGAGGAGCUUGCUCCUCUGACGUUAGCGGCGGAAGGGUGAGUAACACGUGGAUAACCUACCUAUAAGACUGGGAUAACUUCGGGAAACCGGAGCUAAUACCGGAUAAUAUAUUGAACCGCAUGGUUCAAUAGUUAAAGACGGUUUUGCUGUCACUUAUAGAUGUAUCCGCGCCGCAUUAGCUAGUUGGUAAGGUAACGGCUUACCAAGGCAACGAUGCGUAGCCGACCUGAGAGGGUGAUCGGCCACACUGGAACUGAGACACGGUCCAGACUCCUACGGGAGGCAGCAGUAGGGAAUCUUCCGCAAUGGGCGAAAGCCUGACGGAGCAACGCCGCGUGAGUGAUGAAGGUCUUCGGAUCGUAAAACUCUGUUAUUAGGGAAGAACAAAUGUGUAAGUAACUAUGCACGUCUUGACGGUACCUAAUCAGAAAGCCACGGCUAACUACGUG